GCUGUCGGCGUGCUUAACACAUGCAAGUCGAACGGAAAGGCCCUGCUUUUGUGGGGUGCUCGAGUGGCGAACGGGUGAGUAACACGUGAGUAACCUGCCCUUGACUUUGGGAUAACUUCAGGAAACUGGGGCUAAUACCGGAUAGGAGCUCCUGCUGCAUGGUGGGGGUUGGAAAGUUUCGGCGGUUGGGGAUGGACUCGCGGCUUAUCAGCUUGUUGGUGGGGUAGUGGCUUACCAAGGCUUUGACGGGUAGCCGGCCUGAGAGGGUGACCGGCCACAUUGGGACUGAGAUACGGCCCAGACUCCUACGGGAGGCAGCAGUGGGGAAUAUUGCACAAUGGGCGGAAGCCUGAUGCAGCAACGCCGCGUGCGGGAUGACGGCCUUCGGGUUGUAAACCGCUUUCGCCUGUGACGAAGCGUGAGUGACGGUAAUGGGUAAAGAAGCACCGGCUAACUACGUGCCAGCAGCCGCGGUGAUACGUAGGGUGCGAGCGUUGUCCGGAUUUAUUGGGCGUAAAGGGCUCGUAGGUGGUUGAUCGCGUCGGAAGUGUAAUCUUGGGGCUUAACCCUGAGCGUGCUUUCGAUACGGGUUGACUUGAGGAAGGUAGGGGAGAAUGGAAUUCCUGGUGGAGCGGUGGAAUGCGCAGAUAUCAGGAGGAACACCAGUGGCGAAGGCGGUUCUCUGGGCCUUUCCUGACGCUGAGGAGCGAAAGCGUGGGGAGCGAACAGGCUUAGAUACCCUGGUAGUCCACGCUGUAAACGGUGGGUACUAGGUGUGGGGUCCAUUCCACGGGUUCCGUGCCGUAGCUAACGCUUUAAGUACCCCGCCUGGGGAGUACGGCCGCAAGGCUAAAACUCAAAGGAAUUGACGGGGCCCCGCACAAGCGGCGGAGCAUGCGGAUUAAUUCGAUGCAACGCGUAGAACCUUACCUGGGUUUGACAUGGAUCGGGAGUGCUCAGAGAUGGGUGUGCCUCUUUUGGGGUCGGUUCACAGGUGGUGCAUGGCUGUCGUCAGCUCGUGUCGUGAGAUGUUGGGUUAAGUCCCGCAACGAGCGCAACCCUUGUUCACUGUUGCCAGCACGUUAUGGUGGGGACUCAGUGGAGACCGCCGGGGUCAACUCGGAGGAAGGUGGGGAUGACGUCAAGUCAUCAUGCCCCUUAUGUCCAGGGCUUCACGCAUGCUACAAUGGCUGGUACAGAGAGUGGCGAGCCUGUGAGGGUGAGCGAAUCUCGGAAAGCCGGUCUCAGUUCGGAUUGGGGUCUGCAACUCGACCUCAUGAAGUCGGAGUCGCUAGUAAUCGCAGAUCAGCAACGCUGCGGUGAAUACGUUCCCGGGGCUUGUACACACCGCCCGUCAAGUCAUGAAAGUUGGUAACACCCGAAGCCGGUGGCCUAACCGUUGUGGGGGAGCCGUCGAAGGUGGGACUGG
rnacentral:rRNA from 1 species